CCGCGUGAGUGAUGAAGGUCUUCGGAUCGUAAAACUCUGUUAUUAGGGAAGAACAAAUGUGUAAGUAACUAUGCACGUCUUGACGGUACCUAAUCAGAAAGCCACGGCUAACUACGUGCCAGCAGCCGCGGUAAUACGUAGGUGGCAAGCGUUAUCCGGAAUUAUUGGGCGUAAAGCGCGCGUAGGCGGUUUUUUAAGUCUGAUGUGAAAGCCCACGGCUCAACCGUGGAGGGUCAUUGGAAACUGGAAAACUUGAGUGCAGAAGAGGAAAGUGGAAUUCCAUGUGUAGCGGUGAAAUGCGCAGAGAUAUGGAGGAACACCAGUGGCGAAGGCGACUUUCUGGUCUGUAACUGACGCUGAUGUGCGAAAGCGUGGGGAUCAAACAGGAUUAGAUACCCUGGUAGUCCACGCCGUAAACGAUGAGUGCUAAGUGUUAGGGGGUUUCCGCCCCUUAGUGCUGCAGCUAACGCAUUAAGCACUCCGCCUGGGGAGUACGACCGCAAGGUUGAAACUCAAAGGAAUUGACGGGGACCCGCACAAGCGGUGGAGCAUGUGGUUUAAUUGGAAGCAACGCGAAGAACCUUACCAAAUCUUGACAUCCUCUGACCCCUCUAGAGA
rnacentral:rRNA from 1 species